rnacentral:rRNA from 1 species
GAUCCUGGCUCAGGACGAACGCUGGCGGCGCGCCUAACACAUGCAAGUCGGAACGGGGUUAUACGGGAUGAAGUUUUCGGAUGGAAUUCUAUAUAACCUAGUGGCGGACGGGUGAGUAACACGUGAGCAACCUGCCUAUCAGGAGGGGGAUAACGAUUGGAAACGAUCGCUAAUACCGCAUGACAUAGCGGGGAAGGCAUCUUCCUGCUAUCAAAGAUUUAUCGCUGAUAGAUGGGGCUCCGG